rnacentral:rRNA from 1 species
AGAGUUUGAUCCUGGCUCAGGAUGAACGCUAGCUACAGGCUUAACACAUGCAAGUCGAGGGGCAGCGCGGGAGAAGCUUGCUUUUCCUGGCGGCGACCGGCGAAUGGGUGAGUAACACGUAUCCAACCUGCCCGUUACAAGAGGAUAGCCCUCCGAAAGGAGAAUUAAUACUCUAUGUUGUGGCAUUGCCGCAUGACAGUGCCACUAAAGAUUCAUCGGUAACGGAUGGGGAUGCGUCUGAUUAGGUAGUAGGCGGGGUAACGGCCCACCUAGCCGACGAUCAGUAGGGGUUCUGAGAGGAAGGUCCCCCACAUUGGAACUGAGACACGGUCCAAACUCCUACGGGAGGCAGCAGUGAGGAAUAUUGGUCAAUGGGCGAGAGCCUGAACCAGCCAAGUAGCGUGAAGGAUGACUGCCCUAUGGGUUGUAAACUUCUUUAGUGCGGGAAUAAAGUGAGCCACGUGUGGCUUUUUGCAUGUACCGCAAGAAUAAGCAUCGGCUAAUUCCGUGCCAGCAGCCGCGGUAAUACGGAAGAUGCGAGCGUUAUCCGGAUUUAUUGGGUUUAAAGGGAGCGUAGGCGGAAAGACAAGUCAGUUGUGAAAGUUUGCGGCUCAACCGUAAAAUUGCAGUUGAAACUGUUUUUCUUGAGUGCACAUGAGGAUGGUGGAAUUCGUAGUGUAGCGGUGAAAUGCUUAGAUAUUACGAAGAACUCCGAUUGCGGAGGCAGCUGUCUAGGGUGCAACUGACGCUGAGGCUCGAAAGUGCGGGUAUCAAACAGGAUUAGAUACCCUGGUAGUCCGCACAGUAAACGAUGAAUACUCGUGGUUGGCGAUAGACAGUCAGUCACCAAGCGAAAGCGAUAAGUAUUCCACCUGGGGAGUACGCCGGCAACGGUGAAACUCAAAGGAAUUGACGG